rnacentral:tRNA from 1 species
GCCGGAGUGGUGGAAGUGGUAGACGCAGAGGACUCAAAAUCCUCCGGGCCUUGCGGUCCGUGCGAGUUCGAGUCUCGCCUCCGGCACCA